UGAAAAACAAAAAAAAGAUGAUCCAUCCAGAAGGAUCGAGAGGGAGAACCAUCCAGAGGAUCCGAGUGGCGCUACUCCGUCCGGCCACAGCACAGCGGCGGACCCCGGCAUUCUCUCCGCCUCGCCAUCGUCGUCACGCUCGUGGCCUCUGAUUGUCCAUGCAUUGAACGAAGAAGGAGAAUCGAAGACCCGAAGCUCCGAGUCUCCUCCGGCGAGUUUCUACGAAUUCCGGCGACUCCGAUCACGGAUUAAGCUGCAUGUGGUAGGAAAACUCAUCCUCUCGUCAAUAUCUAUUCGUUAGAUCAAUUAUUUUUUCAAUUCGAACGAUUUUGACUGAUUGAUUGGGUUUCUGGGUUACCUUCACCUUCUGCUCCGCCGUGUUCUUCAACGCCGGCAAGUUCUCCGGCCUUUCUGGCUUCGUUUCUUGCUCGGCUGCACUCAUAGGCUAACAAUCGAAAAGCUUUCUGGUAGUUGGCAUCACACUCACCAGUUCAUCUUCGGCAGUGACACUGGGAAGAUCACGCUUGUCCUGGGUACUGAGUUGGGUUGAUUAAAGUUGAUUUCCGAUUUCGAAGGUAUAAUCUCGAACUAGAAUCACGUUUUGUUCUUGUGUUAGUGAUCGGAAGUUAUGGAACUGAUAUUAUGAUUUGCCAACUACUUGGUCUUGGAGAAUUCUCCUUUUUUUUUUUGAUAGACUACUUGGAGAAGUUUGACUGGUUGAGUUGCAACAAAGAAGUACACAAUAAUUGAAGACGAAUGAAGGUACAGCUGAUAGCAGUAGUUUGCAGUUUCAACAGACCCAACACCGGUAAUAAACGAAUCCUGACCUACAACAGAAAGAGGCAGAGAGAUAAACACAGAAAACAACCGAGACGAAGAGAAGGGUGUUGCAUUUUCUGACCAAGAACCGCACUAUGUGGAUUCAAAGAACUUUCAUGAGCUGAACUUGGAAGAGAUUCCGAGAAUAAAAGAAGAAGAACGAGUGUGAGAGAAAGCGCAUAUUUCAUCCAAGUCAUGUCUGCUCUAAGCAAAACGUAGUUUACUAAAUGAAUAUGGAACACCAACUGGCUGAAUGGAUUCUUUUAUGGAUUAGAGGAUUACCUAUAUAUAUAAGGUAGUAACUCCAUUAUGGACCGCGGUUCCGGUCAACACGCUUGAAUACCUUGACCACUACAACGUACAGCAUGCUUAGGCUAGCUAGGGGACAAGAGGAAAGAAAUUUCAAUGAGACCAAAAAUGAAAUUGUCAUUGAAAUUUUUGAUUGUAUCAAAGAGCAAGAGCCCUCCUAAACACAACACCAGAGUUUACUGUUAGUAUGAGCUGUAGGAGAGGGACGAUAAUUUUUGGUUUCGAAAGAUAGGAAUUCGAACUUGAGUCCUCAUCUAACGAGAUGGAAAAAUCACUUGAAGACUCCAACCUAAAUGAGAGACACCACCACUCACUACUAGAAAUUUCCCCAAUAGCACUUGCGCUACUGUGUUUUUGGUCACCAUAAAUCAUUAGUGGGUGUUUGGAAUACUAUCACACCAUUGCAAUUUAUCACUAGGAGAUUUUGUUGUCUCACCGUUAAGGCGUUAACAGUGGCUACUAAACACAAACACAGUACAUACCUCUUUUGUAUAUAUAUUUAAUUCAAUUAAUUCCUGAAACCCACUGAAACAGUGUGUGUGGAAUAUGAAGAUAAAGUAAACUCAUGGGUCCCCAUUUGAUAUAGUAUUAAUAUCAUAAUAAAAUUAGUGUUUAAGUAAAUCUAGAAUAUGUGUCUG